rnacentral:rRNA from 1 species
AUGGCUGAAGCGAACUCGUACGAGGAGCAGCGCAGGAGGCAGGUGGAGGAGAACAAGCGGAAGCUGGAGGAGCUGCGCCUGCACCACCUCUCCGCCGCCGUCCGCGAGGCCGCCGUCAAGCCCAGGCUGGUCCGUCAGAUCCGCACCGCCCUCCGCCGUUCCUCUGCUCCUGUCUGUCUUCCUUUUUUGAGUAUUUCUGUUUGGUUGGCGUCGCAGAAGAGGAAGGCCCCGAAGCCACGGGACGCCGCCGAUGACGCCCCGCCCCGGCGUUCCGGCCGUAUCGCCACCCUCCCCGAGCAGCCCGACUAUCGCGACAAUCAGAAGGAAGUAAAGCCUGAUCAUGCGUACGCCAUCGCCAAGGCCGAAGAGCUACAGGAUGAGCUAGGCUCCGACUACCCCACCUUUGUCAAACCCAUGCCCCAGUCUCUUACCUCGCUGCAUAUCCCGGCACAGUUCAGCAUGGAGCAUCUCCCGGACCAUCGCAUGAGAAUGGUUUUGGUGGAUGAGGAGGAGGAGGAGUUUAAGGUGCUUUAUCGUCCACACAGUAGCAGUCUUAUCACCGGGUGGAGCGAGUUUGCCGUCGACAAUGAGCUAGUUGAAGGUGAUUGCUUGGUGUUCCAGCUGAUCAAGAGGGCAUUGUUCAAGGUCUACAUAUUCAGGGCAAGUUCGUACUAUAAAAAUGAGCAUUAA